rnacentral:rRNA from 1 species
CAAUAGCGUAUAUUUAAGUUGUUGCAGUUAAAAAGCUCGUAGUUGGAUUUCGGAUGGGACUUGCCGGUCCGUCGUUUCGAUGUGCACUGGCCAGUCCUAUCUUGUUGUCGGGGACUAGCUCCUGGGCUUCACUGUCCGGGACUAGGAGCUGACGAGGUUACUUUGAGUAAAUUAGAGUGUUCAAAGCAAGCCUACGCUCUGAAUACAUUAGCAUGGAAUAACACGAUAGGACUCUGGCUUAUCUUGUUGGUCUGUGAGACCAGAGUAAUGAUUAAGAGGGACAGUCGGGGGCAUUCAUAUUUCAUUGUCAGAGGUGAAAUUCUUGGAUUUAUGAAAGACGAACUUCUGCGAAAGCAUUUGUCAAGGAUGUUUUCAUUAA